UACGUAGGGUGCAAGCGUUGUCCGGAAUUAUUGGGCGUAAAGAGCUCGUAGGCGGUUUGUUGCGUCGGCUGUGAAAAUCCCGAGGCUCAACCUCGGGUCUGCAGUCGAUACGAGCAAACUAGAGUGUUGCAGGGGAGACUGGAAUUCCUGGUGUAGCGGUGAAAUGCGCAGAUAUCAGGAGGGAACACCGGUGGCGAAGGCGGGUCUCUGGGCAACAACUGACGCUGAGGAGCGAAAGCCGUGGGGGAGCGAACAGG
rnacentral:rRNA from 1 species